AGUCCAAAGAGUAGACAUCAAGUAGGGACAAAGGUUCCCUGAAGUUUGGUGUGUGGUGCUCCACUUUUGGGAACCCUUACUAUGCGAGGAGAUUAUAGAGAGGACUCUCUUGUGACCACUGCAGGCUUCUAGAAGAACUGAGUCAGCCUGGUUCAAGAAAAAUCAAGUGAUGAUGUUUGGAACUGCUGGGAGCCAGCUGCAUCGUGUCAACCGUUGAGAACAAACGGGUGGAGUCGUGGUCACAGAGUUCCUGAGCUGCAGAUCAGAGAUGGAGAGGAGAGGAAUCGCUGAGAAGAAAUGAAACACUUCAACAAAUUCACUCUGUGGGACAGUGGAUAAGGAAGAUCACAGUCGUUUGGCCUGGGGAUCUGGAACUUAUUAAUGUCACCGGGCUUCUCCAACCUUCGGUGGCAGAAAUCUGGACUCUUCCUGCUCUUAGGAGACCUUAACAUGAACUGAAGUUCACUAAACUUUGUAACUAAAUAAAGUCAGGGUUUCUGAAAAUACCCUCCUUCCUUUUCUAGUACAACAAUUGGGUUAGUAUUGCUAUGGCCUCCAAGCAGCUGCUUGCUGUCCAAAACGUGAUUUGCCAAACCAUAUCACUUGGGCGGCUUCUUCUCUCAGACAUUAACCUGCUCCCUAAAGUGCUUCAAAACAUGUAGUUUAUAGAGUACUAGAAGGGAACAUGCUGUGUUGUAUUUACUACACAGUGCUGACUCCUGAAGUCCUAAAGGAAGAAAACAUUUGGUUUUGCAAUUUAAGCGAUGUUCAUUAAUUUCAAGGACAAACAAGUUAGAGUGAGGAGGUUAAAAAAUGUGUUAAGUGUUAAUAUUACAUACGGAGAAAGAGAUUUUAAUUGUUCUUUUACAAAAACACUUAGAAUAUUUAUGGAAAUAAAUUUUCAUUCCAUUUACCUCAAUCUCCACUACACUAGAUCAGUGUAGACGUUUAUAUGGACAUAUAAUUAAUGACACAUAUAUGAUCAGGAAAAUAACAAAUGCAUGUAUUACAGAAAACUGUAUGAUCUUGGCCGUGCUUUUUAUUGUGAGUAGUUGAUAAUAUUGAUAGUAGUGGUAUGAUUGUAUGCCUGAAAUGGCAAGAAUUAAAUAGCAAAAUAUUUAAAGCCAAUUUCAAUUUGUUCAAUUCAAUAAGGCUAACAUAUGAGAAGUAUGUGAUUUAUUAGAAUAAGUGGAGGAAAAUCAAAGCUAGUGGGAAAACUUCAUAGAUUCUAUGAUUUUUUUUUUUCUGAGAAGCUACAGAAAUGUGUAAAGGAAGAUAUUUUGACACAAAUGAAAAAAUUCAGUUUAUUUUCAAGCA
rnacentral:sRNA from 1 species